AUUGAACGCUGGCGGCAUGCUUUACACAUGCAAGUCGAACGGCAGCGCGGGCUUCGGCCUGGCGGCGAGUGGCGAACGGGUGAGUAAUUCAUCGGAACGUGCCCAGUAGUGGGGGAUAGCCCAGCGAAAGCCGGAUUAAUACCGCAUACGACCUGAGGGUGAAAGCGGGGGACCGAAAGGCCUCGCGCUAUUGGAGCGGCCGAUGUCGGAUUAGCUAGUUGCUGGGGUAAAGGCUUACCAAGGCGACGAUCCGUAGCUGGUCUGAGAGGACGACCAGCCACACUGGGACUGAGACACGGCCCAGACUCCUACGGGAGGCAGCAGUGGGGAAUAUUGGACAAUGGGGGCAACCCUGAUCCAGCCAUGCCGCGUGCGGGAAGAAGGCCUUCGGGUUGUAAACCGCUUUUGUUCGGGAAGAAAUCCUCUGGGCUAAUACCCCGGGGGGAUGACGGUACCGGAAGAAUAAGCACCGGCUAACUACGUG
rnacentral:rRNA from 1 species